rnacentral:sRNA from 1 species
GGGAGCUCGGCGCUGUUUCAGAUUUUGUAAUUUUAAGGCUUAUGCAUACCUUUUAAAUUGUUGUGGGGAGUAAAGCGAGACAAUAUAUAUGAAGCACUUAGCUUUGGUACAAAACGUAUUCGUGAUUCCGCUACCUUUUCCCAUCAUAUGUAGGUAUGUACUUGCCGUGUUCUUUUCUGUAUGUCUGAGAAAUGUUGUUUGCAAGAGGUAAUGCAUCUCACGAGAACAUAAUGCAACGAGAACGUUAGCUGGGAUCGAUCUCUUAUUUUGUAUUAGGAAGGCCUGAAAUAUUUUGCCUUUUUUUUGUGUGUGUGUGUGUCAUUUCCAGAGAUAGCUGUUCUCCAGCCUUUCUGGAGGGAUGCAGAGCCUUUCCUUAGGACAAACAAGAAAGUACUGAUCUGAUUUCCAGCUGACGCAUUCUGCCCCUUUAUUCCAGUAGAGGUCAGUCGAGCAUCUGGAAGAGAGAACAGG